rnacentral:rRNA from 1 species
ACUCCGCCUGGGGAGUACGACCGCAAGGUUGAAACUCAAAGGAAUUGACGGGGGCCCGCACAAGCGGUGGAGCAUGUGGUUUAAUUCGAAGCAACGCGAAGAACCUUACCAGGUCUUGACAUCCUUUGACCACUCUAGAGAUAGAGCUUUCCCUUCGGGGACAAAGUGACAGGUGGUGCAUGGUUGUCGUCAGCUCGUGUCGUGAGAUGUUGGGUUAAGUCCCGCAACGAGCGCAACCCUUAUUGUUAGUUGCCAUCAUUUAGUUGGGCACUCUAGCGAGACUGCCGGUGACAAACCGGAGGAAGGUGGGGAUGACGUCAAAUCAUCAUGCCCCUUAUGACCUGGGCUACACACGUGCUACAAUGGGAAGUACAACGAGUCGCUAGACCGCGAGGUCAUGCAAAUCUCUUAAAGCUUCUCUCAGUUCGGAUUGCAGGCUGCAACUCGCCUGCAUGAAGCCGGAAUCGCUAGUAAUCGCGGAUCAGCACGCCGCGGUGAAUACGUUCCCGGGCCUUGUACACACCGCCCGUCACACCACGAGAGUUUGUAACACCCGAAGUCGGUGAGGUAACCUUUUUGGAGCCAGCCGCCUAAGGUGGGAUAGAUGAUUGGGGUGAAGUCGUAACAAGGUAGCCGUAUCGGAAGGUGCGGCUG